CCUGAUUCUGCUGGUUCUACAUAUUCUGUCCACUAUUAAUCUGACCAUGAUCGUCUCUUCUCUAUUCUUUAUUUUUCCUUCAAACAAUUACGUUUUAUAUGCCCUUUUGCAUGACAGUAAUUACAGUUGAAACUGUUAUUCUGAAAUUUCGAUAGUGUGUAUUACCACUUUUUGAACUUAAUCUUAACUUGCUUCCUUUUGGCAAACAAUCCAAUACCUUGAUCGCCACUUUUCUCAAAAGUCAUCCCAGAAUCUAAUUUUUAUUUACUCAUAAGAUUCGUCUUAACAUCCUUAAUUGAGUUACUGUCUCCUCUACCAUAAAUAUAGUAUCUGUAAAGUGUGUAUAUGAAGAAGGUAAUGAG
rnacentral:lncRNA from 1 species